rnacentral:rRNA from 1 species
GACGAACGCUGGCGGCGUGCCUAAUACAUGCAAGUCGAGCGCAGGAAAUCGACGGAACCCUUCGGGGGGAAGUCGACGGAAUGAGCGGCGGACGGGUGAGUAACACGUAAAGAACCUGCCCUCAGGUCUGGGAUAACCACGAGAAAUCGGGGCUAAUACCGGAUGGGUCAUCGGACCGCAUGGUCCGAGGAUGAAAGGCGCUUCGGCGUCGCCUGGGGAUGGCUUUGCGGUGCAUUAGCUAGUUGGUGGGGUAAUGGCCCACAAAGGCGACGAUGCAUAGCCGACCUGAGAGGGUGAUCGGCCACGCUGGGACUGAGACACGGCCCAGACUCCUACGGGAGGCAGCAGUAGGGAAUCUUCCACAAUGGACGAAAGUCUGAUGGAGCAACGCCGCGUGAACGAUGAAGGCCUUCGGGUCGCAAAGUUCUGUUGUAAGGGAAGAACAAGUGCCGCAGGCAAUGGCGGCACCUUGACGGUACCUUGCGAGAAAGCAACGGCUAACUACGUGCCAGCAGCCGCGGUAA